rnacentral:tRNA from 1 species
GGUAGCGUGGCCGAGCGGUCUAAGGUGCUGGAUUUAGGCUCCAGUCUUUCUGGAGGCGUGGGUUCGAAUCCCACCGCUGCCA